AGAUUUUGACAUCCUACGAAUCUCAUGGAAGUAUGGGAGUGCCUUUUAGGAACGUAGAGACAGGUGGUGCAUGGCUGUCGACAGCUCGUGUCGUGAGAUGUUGGGUUAAGUCCCGCAACGAGCGCAACCCUUACUGUUAGUUACCAUCAUUAAGUUGGGGACUCUAACAGGACUGCCUGCGAAGAGCAGGAGGAAGGUGGGGAUGACGUCAAGUCAUCAUGCCCCUUAUGAUCUGGGCUACACACGUGCUACAAUGGGCAGUACAAAGAGGAGCGAGAUGGUGACAUGGAGCGAAUCUUAAAAGCUGCUCUCAGUUCGGAUUGAAGUCUGCAACUCGACUUCAUGAAGUUGGAAUCGCUAGUAAUCGCAAAUCAGCAAUAUUGCGGUGAAUACGUUCUCGGGUC
rnacentral:rRNA from 1 species